rnacentral:rRNA from 1 species
GAUGAACGCUAGCGGCAGGCCUAAUACAUGCAAGACGAACGGUAAGUUGAGUAGCAAUACUUAGCCAAGAGUGUCGUACGGGUGCGUAACACGUAUGCAACCUACCCUAUACAGGAGGAUAGCCUAGGGAAACCUGGAUUAACCCUUCAUAGUAUUAUUGGAUGGCAUCAUUUGAUAAUUAAAACUGAGGUGGUAUAGGAUGGGCAUGCGUCUGAUUAGUUAGUUGGCGGGGUAAUGGCCCACCAAGACGAUGAUCAGUAGGGGUUCUGAGAGGAAGAUCCCCACACUGGCACUGAGAUACGGGCCAGACUCCUACGGAGGCAGCAGUAGGGAAUAUUGGUCAAUGGAUGCAAGUCUGAACCAGCCAUGCCGCGUGCAGGAAG